UUCAAUAGAGAAAAAAAUGUAUAAAGAAAAAUCAUCUACUUUUAGGAAUAGGUUGUAUACAAGUGCAAUAAUUUGUAGUUAAUUAACAACAUUGACAAUUAAUCACAAUAAAAAGAAAAAUAAUAGAGCAUCACAAAAAUUAAAAUUUAUAGAUAAUUAAAAUAACUUUUAAGAUGGAGAUAAGGAAGAAACUCAUGGUUACUCUUCUCUCAUUUGAGUUUCCCCAACACGGAUGUGCUGUUUAUUUCUUUUCUUGAACGA